UACAGAGGGUGCGAGCGUUAAUCGGAAUUACUGGGCGUAAAGCGCACGUAGGCGGCUUUGCAAGUCAGAUGUGAAAUCCCCGGGCUUAACCUGGGAACUGCAUUUGAGACUGCAUUGCUAGAGUAUGGGAGAGGGCAGUGGAAUUUCCGGUGUAGCGGUGAAAUGCGUAGAUAUCGGAAGGAACAUCAGUGGCGAAAGCGACUGCCUGGACCAAUACUGACGCUCAUGUGCGAAAGCGUGGGGAGCAAACAGG
rnacentral:rRNA from 1 species